GCCCAGUUGGCCACCGACACCCACCUCUUACCAAGAGGUACCGGGUUCGAACCUUGGGGCGAACAAAGUACCCUCAAAGGGUCGGCUCGGCAAGGGUAUUUACUGCCAGGCUCAGGCUUGUCGGGUGGCGGCCUGGGAGGGGUUAUCCCCUCCGCGGUCAGGGGUACCGUGCAUUACCCUUUUUUUUUUUGGAUUUAUCGCCUAUGAAAAGAAUGGGACAGGUAUGCCUGUAUACAUGGUUUCAAUACGUUUGAGUAUGGACGUUACUAAUGAUGUGCUUGAGAUUGGAAUGUAAUGCAGGGAUGAGAAUGUCAGACUCUUGUAGAAUUGAAGCCGAACCUGGAAGCCGAACUCGAAACAAAGGAAUCCGAGAGGAUAGUCGAAUGAAUUAAAGUUUAUGUACUACACGGAUUUCUUCUACCACUAUCGAAGAUAAGCGGGCAUAGAUCGAGUUGAGUAACAAGGAUUGUACGGAAAGAACGGUUACGUAAUCUUAAUUUUGUAACACAUUAAUUUGUAAAAAGGGAAGUGAAUUUUGUAAGCUUCUUGAAUGUGUGUAUUAUUUUAAGAUCGUAUAGGAAUUUUUAAAGCUA